GUAGGGUGCGAGCGUUAAUCGGAAUUACUGGGCGUAAAGCGUGCGCAGGCGGUUCGUUGUGUUUGCGGUGAAAGCCCCGGGCUCAACCUGGGAAUGGCCGUGAAAACUGGCGAGCUGGAGUGUGGCAGAGGGGGGUGGAAUUCCAGGUGUAGCAGUGAAAUGCGUAGAGAUCUGGAGGAACACCGUGGCGAAGGCAGCCCCCUGGGCUGACACUGACGCUCAGGCACGAAAGCGUGGGGAGCAAACAGGAUUAGAUACCCUGGUAGUCCACGCCCCAAACGAUGACAACUAGAUGUCGGGAGGGUUUGCCUUCCGGUGUCGUAGCUAACGCGUUAAGUUGUCCGCCUGGGAAGUACGGCCGCAAGGUUG
rnacentral:rRNA from 1 species